rnacentral:rRNA from 1 species
GAUGAACGCUGGCGGCGUGCCUAAUACAUGCAAGUCGAGCGAACAGACGAGGAGCUUGCUCCUCUGACGUUAGCGGCGGACGGGUGAGUAACACGUGGAUAACCUACCUAUAAGACUUGGAUAACUUCGGGAAACCGGAGCUAAUACCGGAUAAUAUAUUGAACCGCAUGUUUCAAUAGUGAAAGACGGUUUUGCUGUCACUUAUAGAUGGAUCCGCGCCGCAUUAGCUAGUUGGUAAGGUAACGGCUUACCAAGGCAACGAUGCGUAGCCGACCUGAGAGGGUGAUCGGCCACACUGGAACUGAGACACGGUCCAGACUCCUACGGGAGGCAGCAGUAGGGAAUCUUCCGCAAUGGGCGAAAGCCUGACGGAGCAACGCCGCGUGAGUGAUGAAGGUCUUCGGAUCGUAAAACUCUGUUAUUAGGGAAGAACAAAUGUGUAAGUAACUAUGCACGUCUUGACGGUACCUAAUCAGAAAGCCACGGCUAACUACGUG